GAUGAAGAACGCAGCGAAAUGCGAUAAGUAAUGUGAAUUGCGGAAUUCAGUGAAUCAUCGAAUCUUUGAACGCACAUUGCGCCCGUCAGUAUUCUGGCGGGCAUGCCUGUUCGAGCGUCAUUACGCCCCUCAAGUCCCCUGUGGACUUGGUGUUGGGGAUCGGCGAGGCUGGUUUUCCAGCACAGCCGUCCCUUAAAUUAAUUGGCGGUCUCGCCGUGGCCCUCCUCUGCGCAGUAGUAAAACACUCGCAACAGGAGCCCGGCGCGGUCCACUGCCGUAAAACCCCCCAACUUUUUACAGUUGACCUCGAAUCAGGUAGGACUACCCGCUGAACUUAAGCAUAUCAAUAAGCGGAGGA
rnacentral:misc_RNA from 1 species